CACAAUACCUGCCUGUUCCCAAAGCACCGGCCCAGUGUCCCUCCAGCUGCUUCUCAGGUUUCAUAACUGCCCUGCGUGUUGCACCUGGCCCUUCCUCCCCUGGGGCUGCGGGGCUGGAAACCGAGGAGAUGGCAGCCUGGUUUCCCUCCCUCCCUGCUCCUGCAAGUCCAGGCCCCUGAGGCGACUGGGGCUUUGGAGACUGACUCACUCUUUUGAAAAAAAUGUUAAAAAGAAUCUGAAGCAAAUAUACCAAAAGAGUAACAUUUGGACAUCUGGGGGGUAGAGUCAUUUAUCCAUCUCCACCCACUUAAUGGCUGCUUCAUCGACUUUGUCAAAUGCAUCAUCUAAGUGGACUAUCUCUGCCACCAUCUCAAAACAGCUCUUUCGUUUAAUUUUCUGUUUCUGUCAAUAGCGCACUCA